rnacentral:rRNA from 1 species
UACGUAGGGGCUAGCGUUAUCCGGAAUUACUGGGCGUAAAGGGUGCGUAGGUGGUUUCUUAAGUCAGAGGUGAAAGGCUACGGCUCAACCGUAGUAAGCCUUUGAAACUGAGAAACUUGAGUGCAGGAGAUGAGAGUGGAAUUCCUAGUGUAGCGGUGAAAUGCGUAGAUAUUAGGAUGAACACCAGUUGCGAAGGCGGCUCUCUGGACUGUAACUGACGCUGAGGCACGAAAGCGUGGGGAGCAAACAGGAUUAGAUACCCCCGGUAGUCCCUGA